AGCUUUAGGCUAAAUAAUAGGUUUAACCUGCCCAAUGUAUAUUAGGAUGAAUGGCCGCGGUACUUUGACCGUGCUAAGGUAGCAUAAUCAAUUGGCUUUUAAAUGGGGUCAGGAAUGAAUGGAUUUAACGUAACUUAACUGUCUCUUAACUAAUUAAUCGAAAUUACUGUGCAGAUGAAAAAGUCUGUUUUAAGAAAAAAGACGAGAAGACCCUUAGAGUUUUACCUAAUAUAUAAUAUGAAAGUAUUUAUAGCGGUUUGGUUGGGGCAAUCUAGGAGCAAAAGAGGACAAGUAGUUAAUUUUAACUACUUAUAAAUCUCCUAAAUUAUAUUAGACGGUUGUUUAAAGAUUAAACAAACUACCUUAGGGAUAACAGCAUUAUGUAAAAAAUAAGUUUGUGACCUCGAUGUUGGACUGGGAAACUUAAAGGCUAGUCGUUUUUUAGGAAGGUUCUGUUCGAACUAAUAUUCCC
rnacentral:rRNA from 1 species